UGGCGGACGGGUGAGUAAUGUCUGGGAAACUGCCUGAUGGAGGGGGAUAACUACUGGAAACGGUAGCUAAUACCGCAUAACGUCGCAAGACCAAAGAGGGGGACCUUCGGGCCUCUUGCCAUCGGAUGUGCCAGAUGGGAUUAGCUAGUAGGUGGGGUAACGGCUCACCUAGGCGACGAUCCCUAGCUGGUCUGAGAGGAUGACCAGCCACACUGGAACUGAGACACGGUCCAG
rnacentral:rRNA from 1 species